rnacentral:rRNA from 1 species
UACGUAGGGUGCAAGCGUUAAUCGGAAUUACUGGGCGUAAAGCGUGCGCAGGCGGCUUUGCAAGACAGAUGUGAAAUCCCCGGGCUCAACCUGGGAACUGCAUCCGAUACUGGAUGGCUUGAAUUCGGGAGAGGGAUGCAGAAUUCCAGGUGUAGCGGUGAAAUGCGUAGAUAUCUGGAGGAAUACCGGUGGCGAAGGCGGCAUCCUGGACCGACAUUGACGCUGAUGAGCGAAAGCUAGGGGAGCAACGGG